GACGAACCGUGCGAACGUUGUUCGGAAUCACUGGGCUUAAAGGGCGCGUAGGCGGCUUCCCAAGCCCGGGGUGAAAUCUUUCGGCUUAACCGGAAAAGGGCCUCGGGGACUGGGGGCUAGAGGGAGGUAGGGGCAAGCGGAACUUCCGGUGGAGCGGUGAAAUGCGUUGAUAUCGGAAGGAACGCCGGCGGCGAAAGCGGCUUGCUGGACCUCAUCGACGCUGAUG
rnacentral:rRNA from 1 species